UGGGGAAUAUUGCGCAAUGGGCGGAAGCCUGACGCAGCGACGCCGCGUGGGGGAUGACGGCCUUCGGGUUGUAAACCUCUUUCGGCCCCGACGAAGCGUGAGUGACGGUAGGGGUAGAAGAAGCACCGGCCAACUACGUGCCAGCAGCCGCGGUAAUACGUAGGGUGCGAGCGUUGUCCGGAAUUAUUGGGCGUAAAGAGCUCGUAGGCGGUCUGUCGCGUCGAUCGUGAAAACUUGGGGCUUAACCCUGAGCUUGCGGUCGAUACGGGCAUGACUGGAGUUCGGCAGGGGAGACUGGAAUUCCUGGUGUAGCGGUGAAAUGCGCAGAUAUCAGGAGGAACACCGGUGGCGAAGGCGGGUCUUCUUGGGCCGAUACUGACGCUGAGGAGCGAAAGCGUGGGGAGCGAACA
rnacentral:rRNA from 1 species